rnacentral:lncRNA from 1 species
CCUGCAGGCUCCAGAUAAAGCCCUAACUCCUAGCAAUUCCGCCUGAGACUGUUAGGACUCUUGUUCUCUCUGACCAGUGUCAACAUGGAACUGUGCCCCAUACGGACUCCAUCUACCAUCCCAUCCUCCAGCACCAGGCGACUGGGGUGUGCCUGGAAUUCUCAACCGGUCAGGAGAAGAAUGUGCUAUGUUACAGUUUUCCUGCCACAAAAUACUAAACUAUAUGAUGGAGGUGAAGAAGUGAUUCGAGCACUGAAUGACUUGCUGGCACGGCAGACCAGACAGGAUGGCACUUCACUGAUUGAGAUGAGUGGCACUGAGCUACACUUCUAGAACACGAGGACGGAGACCGUGCUUUCUGCCAUCUGCAAUGGCUCACGAGCUAAGGGUGAAAGGCACUGCACCCCUUCUUCAGCGGCGGUGGUAGCUGGGGCAGCUGUGGCCAGAACUGCGUUCUAAUUGUUCAAGUUAGUCUGAAUUUUCACUUCAGGUGCAAAUUCCAUUUUUAAAAGUUGAAUCUUCAUUGAAUUCUUCUGAUGAUUCGUGAGAAACUCAGCAAAUGCUUUGAAUUGAAGGCAAGACCUCGUUCACGUAUGACCGUGCGCCCAGAAGGCCCACAUCUCCCCUCGGCCUCCUUUGUGAGUCUGGAAGUGAUCCCAUGUGAGCAUGUAACCCAGACAUGCUCCUCACUUCCACACCCAAAUAAAGUAAAAGACCAAAACA